rnacentral:lncRNA from 1 species
GAUUGUUAUAACAACAGACGGAAUACAAGUCUCUGUCUCUGUGGGUGGACUGAGAUCCACCACCCGAUAACUGUUUUUAGCUUGUUAUCUCUUGUUAACUCCGUAAGAAUUAAUUUACAAAUUAAUUCCUGUGAUAUAUUUGAUUGAAACAAAAGCAUGCUGCCUGGUAUGGGGAUCUCCAUACCUUUUAAUUUCAGACAGCAUUUCCUCUCUCGGCGAGCACUCACCAGAAGAUGAAGCCCUGCUAAGUGGCAGGAUGCUGCACACAAUUUUAUGGCUGGGGCAGUUGGGAAGAACCAAGCUUUGCAAUGUGUUAGCCCACAGAAGGUGCAGCACUGGGUUAACCACGAUAAUCUAACAUCACAAUAUAUCUUUCCCCACCUUUACACUGAUGGAAAGCUGUGUUUAUAACUGCCAGUGACAACAUCUCCUCCAGGCUGGUGUGAGCACGUAAUUUGCUGGAGUUGGUGAGGAGCAGCGAAGUGGAGAGAACAUUUUUGCCCAAGCUCCUCCUGUUGAGCCACAGUUCCCAUCCAUCCCUUCUCUUCAGGCUGGGGCUGCUGAGCACCUCACCCACGAUCACAAAAAUCGAGCUCGGGCCCAGUUCUGGAGAUCCCAAGCACACGGUAUCACGCGUUCACCUCCCACCAGGCCUACGAGCACAGCUGUCAUUCCAGAGGGAGCUUGCACACAAAAGACAGAAGAAAGUAAAUUUCAGAUAGAGAAGCUCCGCUAGGAUCUACUUCAUGGAGGCUGCAGAAGUGGAGACGCAUUUUUCAGCAUUUUUACUAAUUACAGCCUCUUACAUAACCAUGAUCGCCCAGAUCCACGGCAUUACAAAGCUGCCUCCAACUCCUCCAAGGCUGCAAACCAAGGCUUAGCAAUGAAAACCCUCGCUGCAGUUUCCAGCGGGCAGACGGCCUCAUUAGCAAUGCACACGACCUCUGGCUGCUCGUGCGGCUGCAGAGGAGGGCGCAGACACGGUUAGGUUUCUGCUUCCGCCCCAAUCUGCGAGCGCUGGCUGCUGCUGCUUGAAAUAUUUAUAGCGGGUGCAGGAAGUGCGGCUUGAAUGUAAUGGAAGGGGAGAGGUGGGGAGAAAGUCCUCCGCUCCAACUUUUGUUUCGCUUUAAUCCCUGGUUGCUGGAAGUCAGGAAUUUUGAUACGAGAUGUUAGGGCUAAGAGCCGGGAGCGUGGAUUUAGCAGGCUCUGGGCCCCUGAGCAUAGGGUUAAAUGUCAAAAGCAGAGGAAGAAGCUGUCUGCGGUGAAUGUGAAUUAAGUUUUCCUUUUCUCAACAAGCUAGAAAAAACAUUUGCCACCAGAAAAAGCAGAAACUUCUGUAACACUGUAUUCUAACG